CCCUUUCGGGGGUACUCGAGCGGCGAACGGGUGAGUAACACGUGAGUAACCUGCCUCUGGCUUUGGGAUAACCCUCGGAAACGGGGGCUAAUACCGAAUAUUCAUUGUGACCGGCAUCGGUUGUGGUGGAAAGUUUUUCGGCCAGGGAUGGGCUCGCGGCCUAUCAGCUUGUUGGUGGGGUAAUGGCCUACCAAGGCUUCGACGGGUAGCCGGCCUGAGAGGGCGACCGGCCACACUGGGACUGAGACACGGCCCAGACUCCUACGGGAGGCAGCAGUGGGGAAUAUUGCACAAUGGGCGGAAGCCUGAUGCAGCGACGCCGCGUGAGGGAUGACGGCCUUCGGG
rnacentral:rRNA from 1 species